CCUACGGGGCGCAGCAGUAGGGAAUAUUGCUCAAUGGGGGAAACCCUGAAGCAGCAACGCCGCGUGGAGGAUGAAGGUUUUCGGAUUGUAAACUCCUUUUGUUAGAGAAGAUAAUGACGGUAUCUAACGAAUAAGCACCGGCUAACUCCGUGCCAGCAGCCGCGGUAAUACGGAGGGUGCAAGCGUUCCUCGGAAUCACUGGGCGUAAAGAGCGCGUAGGCGGGAUAGCAAGUCAGAUGUGAAAUCCUAUGGCUUAACCAUAGAACUGCAUUUGAAACUGUUAUUCUAGAGUAUGGGAGAGGUAGGUGGAAUUCUUGGUGUAGGGGUAAAAUGCGUAGAGAUCAAGAGGAAUACUCAUGGCGAAGGCGACCUGCUAGAACAUAACUGACGCUGAUGCGCGAAAGCGUGGGGAGCAAACAGGAUUAGAUACCCGUGUAGUC
rnacentral:rRNA from 1 species